CCUACGGGAGGCAGCAGUGGGGAAUUUUGGACAAUGGGCGCAAGCCUGAUCCAGCCAUGCCGCGUGCAGGAUGAAGGCCUUCGGGUUGUAAACUGCUUUUGUACGGAACGAAAAGACUCUGGUUAAUACCUGGGGUCCAUGACGGUACCGUAAGAAUAAGCACCGGCUAACUACGUGCCAGCAGCCGCGGUAAUACGUAGGGUGCGAGCGUUAAUCGGAAUUACUGGGCGUAAAGCGUGCGCAGGCGGUUAUAUAAGACAGAUGUGAAAUCCCCGGGCUCAACCUGGGAACUGCAUUUGUGACUGUAUAGCUAGAGUACGGCAGAGGGGGAUGGAAUUCCGCGUGUAGCAGUGAAAUGCGUAGAUAUGCGGAGGAACACCGAUGGCGAAGGCAAUCCCCUGGGCCUGUACUGACGCUCAUGCACGAAAGCGUGGGGAGCAAACAGGAUUAGAUACCCUGGUAGUCCACGCCCUAAACGAUGUCAACUGGUUGUUGGGUCUUCACUGACUCAGUAACGAAGCUAACGCGUGAAGUUGACCGCCGUGGGGNGGACGGCCGCGAGUAGUAACGUUAAAGUAGAAGUUAGACGGCGUGAGACGUUGCCGACGGACGACGACGAGGGAGGAGG
rnacentral:rRNA from 1 species